UUGAAGAUGUCCAAUUUGAGGACUCAUGUGUUUUGUUGAGACGUUUACUCCAGACACGCACCAUACAUGCACGCACACACAACUACGGACACAAAGAUUCUGCACAAAAGCCUUUUGUUUUAUACGGACACUUUCUGUAGAAACGAAACUUAACUUUAGCUCAUCGUCUGACCACUACGAGGACCUUAGUGACGUAACACAUCACCAGACCAGGAGGCGGAUUUUAGGAUAUAAGCAAUGUGUCUUCCGUGUUUGAGUAGAUGCUGUAUAGAUUCGGGCCUUUACACUUGACAUCCACAUAAGCCUGUAAGGGUAAGCGUCUCUUUCUUUUUAGUGCUAAAAAGAAUAAAAUAAGUAAACUCUGAUUAUUCUGUGUUGGCUGAUUUCCUGUUCGUGUGCUCACACGCUUUGGGUCCGUCGAGUUUAAAUCACAACAGUUUGCAUUUGUCAACAAACUGAAUUUGUUCAAGGCGCACAUUCAAAGGGGAAAUUUAACACAUUUUCCCACUCUACUAAAAGCCAGCGGGCAGGUCACCAGCGCCACCCUGAACAAGCAAAGAGCCAGAUAUGCAACACUGGUUGAAAACCUGCACGAAAGCUUUGUGGCCCGGUUCCGUGAUCUACAACUGAAAAGGCCACAGAUUACAUUCCUUGUCGACCCAUUUAAUGCUGAGACAGACUGUUUGAAAGCCCCGAUAGUCAUAGAUGAGUGUGCGGCUGAGUUGGAGAUGAUUGAUCUUUGUGAGGAGGACCAACUGAAACCUGCUUUAAAGGAAGGGACCAUUGAGUUCUGGAAACAUGUGCCAAUGGAAAAAUAUCCCAAUGUCAAACGAGCUGCACUUAAGAUACUGUCAAUGUUUGGGUCAACAUAUGUCUGCGAGUCUGUGUUUUCUACCCUGAAACAUGUGAAAUCGAAGAAUCGGUCUGUUCUGACCGACAUCCAUGUCAAAGAAUUGCUUCGAGUGACAACAACGGAGUACAAGCCAGAUCUGAACAGGAUUGUUCAAGACAAGGAAUGCCAGAAGUCCCAUUAAAUAACACAUGUAAUGCACAUAAUAAAAGGAAAAAUGUAUUGUAAAUUGUUCUAUUAUUGUUUGUUUAUUUGGUUAAACAGAGUUUGUUUGCAUGAGAAAGUGCACAGUGUUCAUUGUUGAAAAUGUCUGGCCUGUGGUCUUUGUAGUGUUAAAAUAGUGUGUGAAAUUUACAAUAAAUCUGGCUGAGCAAAAGUAUGAGUAUGAGGAAGGGAUGGGUUGAUGUUCAUGUGUGCCCAUGUAUAUGAUGUGGCUCUUUGCAGUAACUUGGUAAAAAAUGUGGCUCUUGGUCUUUGUCUGGUUGGCCACCCCUGUAUUAGAGUUAUGACCAUUUUUUGGUGGCGACUUUUUUUUUGGCCAGGCAGUGUAUAAUCAGUUCUUUAGUAUGUUUUCUGUAACAUAAAACGAAUGAAAGGUUUUUAGAUUGGAAAAAAAUCAAACAAGUGUUUUGAUUUCCUUAUUUUCAGCACCUUUCUCAUUUUGUUCAGGGUUACAUGUAGCAUUUGCAUGUAACCCUGGAAUCUGUGUGUCAGAUUCCAAAUCCAUCAUAUGGAAUCUGACACAAAUACUACACAAAUAUUCUCCACACAGGAGUGUUUGCAUAGUUAAACGGAUUGUUUAGAUUUUUGGAUGUAGGGUUCUAUGAAAUAGUUACCUGCAGAAUACAGAAAUCGAAGUGAACUAAGUUUGCUAAAAAGCAAGACACUCAAAAGGUCUAAAGAGAAAAUUAGCUCAUGGCCCUUAGACCAGAUUUUGGUAUUGAAAUGUAACAUUUUCAUAAAAGUCUGGGUAACCAUUUUAUCAAUUGAUUUAGGAUGUCUAUAGUUUGUAUGAGACAUCAUACUAACGUGUGACACAUACAACAGUGCUGCUGAGAAAGUAGCACGGUUGCUGCUUUCUCAGCUGCGACCGUGAUGAAAGUGCUUUUCUGCUGAUUGCAUCAGUCCAUCUGAUCUUUGAAAUUCAUGUGUCCGAUGAUAUUUCAAAACCAUGAGGCAGAAGAAGGAAGUGAUUACCACACCAUGGAUGAUGAGGCUUUUUCUUAGGAAAUACAAGGUCGUCUGUAUGAGCCAGUAUAUGUAGAAGAACAGCUGUUGGUCUGAGCGAGAACACCUGACAGAUUAGAUAUAAUAUCAUCACCUGCUGACUUCUAUUACUGCUAUGAGGGAGAAUUAAAAGGACAAAGUUGAAGCUUAAUACAGCAACCAUACCAGCAUGUCACAGUUAAUCUGUAUCACUAGCAACGCAGAGUUACCUUCCUCUCAAAUACAUCUACAUAGGUUUUGAGAAAUCUAGCUCUUACCUUGACUGCCAGUCAGUGUUUACCUUCAGGAUGUCCAGAGACCUUCACCUUUCUGGAGCAGGAAUCACAUGAGCUCAAUGUGCUGAUAAAAUAUGUCUAGUUUUAAAAAAUGUGUCUGAUGUUCUUACAGAGUUGAAGUGCAUUAACAAUCUGUUGUUUUUACUAUGUUUAAUUAUGAUUCAUCUGAUGUUCCAGUUAUACUAAGAACAAAUAAAGCUGUAUUCCUUCUAAUCUGACUGGUUCUACUUUUAAUCAAACCUUCAUGUUUUCACAUUUUGGUCACUAAGAAUUAAAAGUUUAAACUCUUAGUCUUAUUUAUCACUAAUUAAGGUUAAAGGUUUUGGACACAUUUUCUCACUUUCUUACACUGAAGAUUCUCCAGGCAGACAGAUAAACAGAGUGGAUAGAAAGAUGAUGUACAAAGUAGAAAUGAACAAACAUGAUUUGUAUUUUAUGUUCUU